AUGGCGGCCACGGCUGCGGAGGCGGCGGCGACUGCGGCGGUGCCGGGCGACGGCGGGGCCGGCGAUGCCGAGCCCGAGCUGGAGCCCAUCCCGGGCAGCGAGGCCGGCGCGGACCCUCUGCCCGCCGUCACCGAGGCCGUGGAGUCGGCGGCGCCCGACGGGGAGGAGGCCGACGGCGGCGGCAAGGUUGCUCCCGGUGAGGCCGAGGAGCCGCAGCCCGCCCGGAGCCCGGCCGGGAGGCGGGAGGCGGACGCGCAGAGGCCGGAGAAGCCGCCGCCUCCUCCGCCCGCCGCCCCAGAGGCGGUGCUGGUGGCGGCUGCUUCGGCCCGGGCCGAGCUGCGGGGACCGCCCGGCCCGGAGCCCGAGCCCUGCCCGCCGCCUGCUGGGCAGCCCGAACUUCCCGAGGAGGAGCCGCAGCCCUGCCCGCCGGCUACUGGGGGCUCCGCGAAGCCGGAGCCCGGGGAGGAGCCGUCCCGGCCGGAGGAGGAGGAGCCGGAUGCUGCGGCUGCCGCCGCUGCCGGGCCCGAGUCGCCGGUGGCCGGGGCUCCCGGUGGAGGGGAGGCGGAGGCUCCGCUGCUGCCCGGCUCGGAGGUGCGGGUCACCCUGGAUCACAUCAUCGAGGACGCCCUGGUGGUCUCGUUCCGGCUGGGGGAGAAGCUCUUCUCCGGGGUCCUCAUGGACCUCUCGAAAAGGUUUGGACCCCACGGAAUCCCUGUGACCAUAUUUCCUAAAAGGGAAUACAAGGAUAAACCUGAAGCCAUGCAGCUCCAAAGUAAACCAUUCCAAGACGAGGCACAGGUGAAGUGUGAAUCUAAUGCUGCAGUCCCUGAUGACUCUUCUCUCAUGCAGCCAUCAGAACCAAGCUUAGCUAAAAGCCUAUGGACUUCUAAACCACCUCCUCUCUUUCAUGAGGGAGCGCCAUAUCCUCCUCCUUUGUUUAUCAGGGACACGUAUAACCAGUCAAUACCUCAGCCUCCGCCCCGGAAAAUUAAGCGGCCCAAGCGUAAAAUGUACAGGGAGGAACCCACUUCUAUCAUGAAUGCUAUCAAACUACGACCCCGGCAGGUCUUAUGUGACAAGUGCAAAAACAGUGUUGUUGCAGAAAAAAAGGAAAUAAAAAAAGGUGGCAAUGCAAGUGACUCUUCAAAAUAUGAGGAUAAUAAAAAACGAAGAAACGAGAGUGUGACUACUGUGAAUAAAAAACUUAAGACUGACCACAAGGUGGAUGGAAAAAGCCAAAAUGAAAGCCAGAAAAGGAAUGCUGUGGUCAAGGUUUCAAAUAUUGCCCACAGCAGAAGCAGAGUAGUUAAAGUUUCUGCACAAGCAAAUACUUCAAAAGCGCAGUUAAAUACAAAAAAAGUUCUCCAGAGCAAAAACAUGGAUCAUGCAAAAGCUCGGGAAGUCUUGAAAAUGGCCAAAGAAAAGGCACAAAAGAAGCAGAGUGCAACCUCCUCUUCCAAAAAUGCACACUCAAAGGUCCACUUCACACGGCGUCUUCAGAACACCAGCUCAGGUUCCCUCCCACCUCGAUUGCGUUUAAAGCCACAAAGAUAUCGGAAUGAAGAAAAUGACUCUUCUCUCAAGACAGGACUUGAGAAAAUACGGAGUGGCAAGAUGGCAACUAAGCCCCAGUCUCGCUGCUCCUCCACCCGCUCAGCAGCUCAGAGACACUAGUCAACUGCUGUUUUUAUGGAACCUCACUACACUGCCACGAAGAGCACCAGCUCAUCAGGACUGAAAGAAAUCUGAGACUGAAUUGUCCUAUUUUUCCUCUGAAAUCUUCACCAAGUAGUAAACAUUUUUUGAAGGGGAAAGGGGGGUAAAUAUGUUAAAGCACCCCCUCGCACCCAGUUAGGGCACCUGUACCUAAUGUACAUUUUCUUUAAAAUUUAAAAAGAUGUUAGGAAAUAUUUUAUAAAACUUUUUUGCAAUAAAUGACGCAUGAAAUUAUUGAAGACUAUAAGACACUUACAUGCAAGGAACCACUUGAAUUAUUAGUAUGAAGAAUCACUGCAAAUAACUGUUUUUUUUGUAAUGUGACAGUCACGUUUGUAUGUUUUGAUAGGUGCCAGUGAUGGAGCCAAUUGCCUGGGAAGUUGACUGUAACUUUUGAACUUUUAUUUUAAUUUUUAACUUUAGCAUUGCAAUUUUCCAUUCUAUGAGGCUUAGUUAGUAUUUAGUGCAGGUGUUAGCAGAGCUGUGACCUGUGAUCAAAAGCAUGUCCAAAACCAAUUGUAUUGUAAAAUAUGAACAGUCCUGCUAUAUGAGACCAAUGUUUCCCAUAGAGGUGAUGGAAAGGACAGUGACCACAAACUCCAUGUAUCUCUGUAUUAUGGGAAAGCUCCUUCUGUGUGAAUAUGGUUGCAUUUUAUUUAUGCUAUUGUAACACUUAGGGAAUUGAGGAUUUUGAAAAACGUUAAGAAGGGCUACAACAGAGAGUAGCAUUUUGCUUAUGAUACUAUAAGAAGAUGGGAGUCGUGAAUGGAGAGAGAUUAAAUUGAAUGGCAUUUCUAUUUCUAAUCAUGGGUUAAUUUUUCCUUUUGACAAAAAUAUUUUUCAGAUAGGUAACCAGUAGAGCAAAGGUUUUAUUAGUGUUUCUGAUGGUUGUUGAUCUCAGUUACAUUGACUUGUUUGAAUAGCUGUAAAUCAAAAACAAACAAACAAACAAAAACGAACCCAGUGGGUUUUAUCCAUUUUAUUCCCCUCCCCAAAAAGGUGUUUGCUAAGACUUACUUCAGUGGAGCUUGUGAAUGCUGGACACGCUGCUGAAAUACUGAGUUAUUAAAUAUUAAUUUAUUUGUCACUGUUUGACAUUGUGUGCACACUUUAUCAGCAGUAUCAUUUAUUACAAUGUUCUUAACUGGGGAUUUAUUAUAUAACCUGCGAAAAUAUUUGUUUUGAAGAAGUGAAAAUGUGCACAUAAUCUACUCAAAGACAAAUUUUUGUUUCUAGAGAACUGAAAAGACUUGUAAUAAACUCUUUUCUUCCUUAGCAUCCUGAUUCAAUUGGAGAAAAUAGUGUCUUUAUCCAGAUCAUUUAAAAAGAAAGAUACCUUUCCGAGAGGCACCUGUAUCAGCACAAAGACAGUUUCACAGCCUUCAAGUAUGGCGCCUGAAUUAAGUAACACUGAAUUCGAAGUGAGGACAACUCCAUUGUUUGGCUUUGGUGUUGGCAAUGGGUUUAAACUUGUUAAGCAGUCGGGGAAGAGGGAAGUGAGAGGUGAGGACAGUCAUCCAGAUCCAGGAAAGGCGUAUCAAUGAUGCACACACACUGAGCCAGGUCAUGCUUAGUGUUUGCUCAAUUCCUUUUUUUAAGAGCUAAUUUAUUUAUAAAGCCGGAAAUUGAAUACUUACUGCCUACUUGUUAACAAAUAGCUGUAUAAUGCUAUGCAGUAGGUUCAAAUUGUACCAUUUUUCAUAAUAAAAUAUGACUUUUUAAAAUUUCAGAUUAAUAUUUUACAGUGCUCUUCCUUUUCACCGGUCAGAGGAUCAGUGGUUUGGUCCUGUUUGUGGCCUGAGAUUUAACUAGAAUUUAGAAAAAUGAAGAUGUCUGAUUUGGUGAAAGGGGAAGCAGUUUGGUAUAGAGUAUGUGCUAGCCUUUCACCCUCUAGUCACUAAACCCCAAUUGUAUUGAUAAUGUACAAGGGUCUUGGCCUAUUAAAUAACAUUUUAAUACACACACACAAAAAAAAAAAAAACACAAACAAAAAACACAACUGAACAAAAGAGAAGCCACCAAACAACAUGGCACAAAACAGUUUCUGCUCAGGAAAAAGGCCCAGGACUGUAAUAGCAGGGUUAUUGCACAUUGGAUUGAAAACUGAUUGAUGUUGUAAGUAGAAGCCAGUAGUGCCUGCCUGUGUGACAUCUGACUCUUAACCAGUGCUCUUAUUUCCUCAUCAUCAUGAGCACUUGUGCACAGCAGCUGAAAUACAGAGAAAAACAAAAACAUUCAAGAGUGAUGCAGGUCUCUGCAUUGGAUAAUAUGGGUAUAUAAGCAAAUAGCAUAAAAAUAGACAAGGUAGCUAAUUGUACUUGCGUUUGUUUUCACAGAAAGUAUUGCAGCCAUUUUGUUUGAAACCAGAUUUUCAUUUUGAAAUGAAAUUGUCAGGGAUAUUCUAAUGAUAGAGAAUUACAGUAAUGUAUUGCUUUUCACUUUUUUGCUUUAGUUGCUUAAUAUUUAAGCUUUGCUCCGUGCUACCUUCUUGUCUGUAUAUUGAAUGGUCACUAUGCCUCUUUCAUUUUGUAGACUUGAAUGAGGAAAAUAUGAUUCAUCCUUUAAGGUUUGCUGAGAAGUAAAUGAUAAAGAAUGUUGUGUAACAUUUAUUCAAAUAAAGCCUUGAUUUUUUUCAGUGCUCUUUUAAAGGGAAAUAAUGUUGAAUAAUGUUUUGAUGUCUUAGCUUCCUUGUUUUAUUAGUCCUUGACCCAGAAGCCUUUGAUUUCUGUUUUUUCUGCUUUUUUUUUUUCUUCUUUUUCCCUGAAUUAAACAAAGAUUAAACUGAGGUUACUAGUCCACUGCUGGAAGUGAAUCACCUGGACAAAUCUCUAUCCAAGGUUACAUUUCACCACAGUGGCUAAAAGAUGCCAAGUCACGCUCAACCAGCCAGAUGCUUUCCACGAGAAACGGGGGAAAGCUCUUCUUUUUCUUGCCGUCUCAUUAAUGAGACAAGAUUACCCAUACUUCGUAGAGACAGAUACAAAGAAAUCCUGAUGGCCCCAUUUCAUGGCUGUGACUGAGACGCACCCAGCCCGGUUGAAGGAGGAAGGUGGAGGUCCUGCUCAGAGGCUGCUGCCACUUCGGCCGUGCUUCCAGCGCAGUCGGUGGGUGCCGAGCGAGCUGCAGAGCUGGGGGUGAGCUCAGGACUUCCCUGGCCCCGCUGUGCAGAGCUAAUCUCCCCAGAAGCACACGAGGGCCGUGCCAUCACAGCUGCAGCGAGGCACAACGCAGCAGGAGCACAGGACGUGCUUGGCCUCUGAACACCUGCACCCCGCCUGCUCGCCUCUCCUUUGACCAUUUUUUCACUCGCAGCGCUAACAGUUUCAGACAAGUUGUCCAUCGCAGGUAAGUGUAACAGGGUGUUUCUCCGUCUGGGGAGGAAAUGCCUUGUGCUGAGUUGCAUUGUCUCAUCGUGGUGCCCUAAAGGAGGGGAGCAGGUUGUGCUGUACCAGCUGCCUUGUGAAACGGGGUUCUGCGCCUCCGGCACUGUGGUCAGAGAAGGGCAGGUUGGAAGACACUUCUUCAGGUGGCAGAAUCUGUAGGAGGUUAUGAUGUAUGUAUAAGAUAGCACGUAUAUAGAUUUUUUCCCGCUUGUAUUUUUAUUACUGUGAAGAAAAGAUAUCCUAGUUGUAAUUGAGCACCUAGGUAAAAACAAACAAAAAAAAAAGUUGCUCAGGUAAAUUUGAUUUCAAGGAAGUUCUUAUUUCAAGGUAGUAUUAAUUUUCUUUUGAUGCACAGUAUGCCUGGAACUAGAGGGCAAGACAGAGGUAUUAACCCUCCUGUAAGUCAGGCAUUUCAUUGCAGUGACCUGUUGUCAGCAGUGAAGUCUUUCCCAGAAUUGAUUCAGCUUUGGAGUGGAGUGAGCACAUGCACGUAUGCUGUCUGUAGCAACUCUGACCUUGGCCCAGGACCUCUGUGAUGCUUUUGAAAUCAGUUGGUUCCUCCUGUAACUGUGAGCGAGUCUCCACGUCUGUCUGUCGCUUGGAACAGAGCUCCAGCAUACGUUUUUCUUUGCCUGCACAGGGUGAUUUCUUAUUCUGUCCGGACUACAGGAACUCCUAUCCUCUUUCUCUCAUUAUUCAUUCUUUCUUGCAGCAGUUCCUCUUGAAUUGGUUAUCCUCAUUAGGGCUCGGUGGAGAGGGGAAAUCCUGCUGAAAUGUAAUUGCUCACUAAUGGCUUUUCCUUUGUGACAUUGUGUUGGUAGCGUCUCGCUGUGGGAGCCUGCUGGAUUUGCUGCAAGACUGUGAAACCCACAGGAGAGGUUAGCCAUACAGCUUUCAGAGUUCUGCAAUUACCCCAUUGAUUAAUCUUCACUCCAGCGGUUUGGUGAUGAAAGUAUAAAAGUAAGCCAGCCUUCAGCAGCGAAGCCAGUCCCACACAAUCCCGCUCAGUAAUAAUGUUUACUGCUUCCCUGAUGCAUCAAAAGGGUGAUACUUAAUGAGGGCAAAAGUGCAGGUAGCAGCUGCUUAAUGCAGCUUCUGGUGCAGGAGGGUUGGCGAUGACUUGCCAGCUGAAACGUGAGGGAUUGACACACAGAAAUAAGAUUUCUUUUUAGGGUGAGACCAAUGGGAAGACUUCUUUAGGAAAUCAGAUAGAUCACUAACAGAGAGAUGAUGUAGUCAACUCAGACACUGUCACAUACACGUUAUUUUUAAGCAUUAUGUGGUGAGGAGCGCAGUGAGAGGGAAGCCAGUUACCUGCCCGAAGCCUCAUCUGUAGUUAAGGAAAUCACACACGGGGCUUCUCCUGUGUUACCUUUGUGCUCCCCGGUGAUGGGCUGGGCUCAUUUCCCUGAUGGACAGCAUCCUCCAAGGCUAUUAGGAGUGUAAGGGGCUGGUGAGAUUUGCAUGGUCAAGUCAUUUUGCUGCUUUUGCAAUUCCUAGAAAGUUGGGAGUGCAAGGAGCUUGGAAUGCUUCUCUGCUGCACGAGGUCAGGGUGGUAGUGCCUUGCAGGGAGCACUCGCAGCGCAGUAGAGAUGCGAACGGUGCUGUAAGGGAGCUCGUCCUGUGGCUCGGUUGAUGGCGCGGCGAUGCUCCAGCUGCCAAAUGCUAACGAGCAUGCCAGGAGCCUCAGCAGGAUGAUGCAGCAGCGUUGCGCGGCCCUCCGAGCAACUGCAGGGCUGGGAACCAGCCCGCCUGAACGUGGCUUUGGUACCAACUGCCCCUCGCUGUCACCAUUUUUCUCUUGUUCUCUUGUCCUUGCUCAAGUCGUUGGAAGUGGAUGUGUCGUUCUCCCUCUUUGUGCAGGAAAGGCUGCGUGGAGGCACUGCCUGGGAAAGGCAGAGUGUGGCAAGGCUCAGCACCUACUGGAUGGCAUUAGAAAAAAGCUCAGGUUAUUUCCCGGUUCAUACAGUGCUGGCUGUUUUUUGUUUGCAUCCUGCAGUCUGUUUCUAUGGUUCUGCUCAGGUUUUUCCCUUGGGUGUUUGUGUGGUCUUUGUUUCUAUUCGCUUGCUGGGCGCUCAGGGCUGGGCAGGCUGUGACCGGUGUAUCAGCUUUUGGGCUGUUCUGAAUUUUAGGCAAGUAUUCAAAGCCAAGGAGAGGUAGUUCUAACUUUGAAAUCCAGAUUUUUCAGCUAAGAGCUCCAAGUCUUAAAAGCUUAGGGACUGGAACUUCCAAAUGUGGUCAUCUUGGUCAUUAAAUAUUAAACCAAGGCUGUGCCUGCUUGAGGGCUCACUCGAAGUACUCUGAGCCAUCAGAGAAAGGGGUUGGGGCUCCGGAGUGCAAAAGGAGGAAUAUUGGACUGUGCUAAAGAUGAGAUCCCAGAAAUACUUCCUCUGUACAGACAGAGAAGGCUAACCCUCUCGUGAGUCACUGUUUGCUCUGUUUGCCUUUUCAAAGCCGUGAGGACAGGGACUAAUGUACGUACAUCAUCUUUCCAUUCAUACAGUGAAAUUAUAUCAGAGCUUUCGGUUGCGUCUUGGCUUAGUAAACUUGCUGCUGGCUGCAAGUAUCAUUGCCUCUGCUGCGUUUGAUGUGGGGGACACAGGUACCUUGGGUUGGAGAGCUGUCGCCUAAAGGGCAGGGGCAGGCCCUUGGCUGAACGCAGCGAAGUGCCCACGCUCCCGGCCUCCUCUUUCCGCAGGUUCCCAGAUGUUGCAAUUCUCAGCUCCUUUCUCAGAUAGAAAAAUGCCCCAAGAUGGAAUGCUGCAGCCAAAUGAGCUAAUGGAAAUGUGUCAGUCUCACCGAGAUAAAGAAAGAUGCAAUUGUCGGGAGCGGCGCGUGGAUGCAAAUAGCCCAGCAGAGCUCUGCUGCCUCCCCAGGGGCCCGUUUUAUUGCUUGGUACUUGCCAUCACUGCUCCAGGAAUAUGUUCAGGAAGCUAUUCCAGCAGCCAGGCUCAAAUCCACCGACCAGGCUGGAUAAUACCACUUCCCCUCUCGCUAACAUCUCACCUCACCAAGACGUCAGCUGGCAGCAGGGCUGUUGUUCAGCAACACCUCCCGCACCGCUGUGCCUGGGGGACGGGCUGGGUUCACAUUCAGGAAUGAGAAACAGAACAGAAAGCCACCUGCCCCGCAGUGUGUGUCUGGCUUGAGUUAGGGAAGGCAAACCUCUUUUCUUUCUGCCGUGUCCGUGUCGGGAAGGUGGCCUUGGAAAAGGCCUUCUUGAGGGCCAGCCGCUGGGAAGCGGGCAGAUACAGGGAAUCCUGCCUGCCUCUGGGCUGGAGCCGGAGCUGCAAAUGGUGAAGGCCCCAGCUGGGAGGAUUAACCACUGAACAUGCAGGGUCAGAAAAACAUGGUUAAUGGCUUUUGGCUGUUUUAGGGUAUUGCAGCUAUAAAGGACUUUGCUCUGUCUGUCAGGGUAGGCUGUGAUGGUUCUGGCUGAAUGCCACAGCAGCUGAGAGCCUGACAAUUUCCUGUGUGGGCUGUGUCUCUGACAAUCAGGCUACCCAGAGCCUCUGCUGCUAGAGGACACCCCUAGCACAUAUACCUCUCAUGGUCAGAACCCAAAAUCAGCUGGAAAAAACACGCUUUGGGCCAAGCAGCCUCUCCCAGAAGCACCGCACCCCCACAGAUCCGGCUGAGCUUCUGGGCAGGGUACCGAGGUUUUAUGCCCCCUGAGGGUGCUGUGCAAGCUGAGCUGAGCUCGUGGCCCUGCUUUUAUCCUUUUACCGGGAGAAAACGGUGGAGGCGGCUUUGCUGGGCACUUCUGACUUGCAGCUGGCUGGGCUCCCCUGCUUUGAGCAGCACGGUCACAGUGAGCAGCUCUGCCACAAGGGCAAUGACACAGCCAGUGGGCCUGGGAGCCGGAGGAGGAGCGAGGCAUGGACGUGGCACGCUGCCGGAGAGGCUCUGGGGUCGGCCUCUGUGGGCGCCCUGAGCGGCCUCAGUGAGGGAGCCCAGCGGGGUUUGAGCCCUGAGCGUGGGCGGCCCAGGGACAUGCGAGCAGCGGUUUUGUUUCUCGGGUGGCUUGGCAGCGGUGCCUUCCCUUUGGGUUUGCUCACCAGGGUACGUGACAAGAGGUGUCAGGAUGAGAACUUGGGGGUGCCCCACGCCCCGCUGUGGUAAGCCACGGCAAAGGGCUUUAAAAACAAACAGGAUUUUGACGAGGUUUGUGGAGACCUCCUUGGUGGCUGUUUGGCUGGCUGCCCUUUGCUGAGGAGACUGUUAGACAAGGCUUCUUCUGGGGAGUAAGAGCCUUUGCUUUCUCAGGAACCUGUAAUAUACAGCCUAGAGCUUUCUGAACCACUGAUUCUGGAAGCCUUGCAUGUCUGCCACCACUUGUGCCUACGGUGUGCCUUGGUGCAAGUGUCGAAAUGCCAGCUACAGCUACAAGGCUGGGGGGUUACAGAGACCCAGCAAGUGUCUGCUGCUGGUGCUGAACACCGGAGGGAGAACAGCUUCUGGGACAUCCUGUGAAGCUGUAAAACCUCAGUGAUUGAGUAAGUGAAGACAGACUUUGGAAACAGCCAUACGUCACUGCACGUCUUGGAUUCAGGGUACAGAGAGCUCCCUCAGAGGGAAGGUCAGCUCGAGUCGGCCGAGUGUAGUGUGCAAGCUCUGCUGGGGCAGCUCACCCGCUUGUGGCCUGGACUGUCUGGGUUUUAAGUAACUUAGGUUUUAAUUUGUGCUAACCCGAACACCCACCCUGUUAACUUUCUCUGUGUCCAGGUCUGAUGCAGGAGCUGGACUGAGUGGUGGUAGAGAAAAAGAGGGUGAAGACAGCUCUCUUGGGUAUCCCACUCCCAUCACACGAGAAAAAGUAGAGAGGAAUAAGAAGGAACAAAGGCUGGGAGCCGAGGACAGACAACGCCAAGUGGAAAAAAGGAAUGUUUCUUGAAAACACAAGAAUAAUUGAACCAGCCUCCCCCCAAGAAGGCAUAUUUGCAGCCCUCCAGGCCUUCAAAGAUGUGAAGCCAGAUCAGAAUGGAAGGAAGAAUAUUUGUCACCAAACUCCUUUGUAAGACAAAGCAGCAGCUUGCUAAGUCACUGCCUGUAACUUUGCACAAUAGCCAUACACUGGUAAAUAAUAGGUAAACACACACAGGCUGAGUAAAGGUAGCCAUUAAUUGGUAGUAAAGGAUACAAACGUACAGUAUCCACAGUAGCUUCCACAUGGUUCCAUUUAUGUGUGGUCUAAGAGCACAUAUAUUGCAGGUGAGUGAUACCCAGAGUCCAGACCUAAGCUGCCUCAUGCAGUGAUGCAGGACUACUGCUGAUGUUGCUAAACCAGACAAAACCCUAGAUGCGCUCCUUUCCCCACCUUUCAGGCGUUACCUAGUGAAGCUCGGCAGUGGAGCCUUGCUCCAGCUCCAGCCAGACCGUACUGCUUCCAGGGCCAGCCGCUUUUUCAAUGUGGAGCCUGUAACAGCAAGUACUGACAUCUCUACCUGAUGUGUGCUCAACUGGGAGCUCUGGUGAAGCACAAUUCAUGUUCCCCAGUGGCUCCUCAGUCUGGGCUCAGGCUGAGCUUCUGAGUUCCAGCCAGCCCAGCACUGCCUCUGCCCAGGGCUCCUUUGGAGCUUGGACACCUCUGCUCCAUGGUACUCCAGGUUUCAGGAAAAAUUAGCAAGAUUUACACUAGUCCCAACAUUCUGUCCAAGCUAAUAAACCUUCCCUGAGCCUGAAGAGCUCAGUUCUGAGAGCAGCAUGGUUUUACAGCUGCCAGCAAUAAGCCAGCUAAUGAGCCACUCUGGACCUGCAGACACUCCAGGUGUGAGCACACCUCUCCCAGCACAUUCCCUCAUAGCCCAGGUAAGCUCAGCCCCUCUCCCUUGAUACCGGAGCCCAACACACCGAGCAUCUGGCUGGCAAACACCUCUCCAGCUCCUGCUACCUUGUGGCUGCUCCCAGGAGCAAAAUCUUUCUUUAAAACCUCCCCUUUACACACCUACCAGUCUGCCCAAUUUUAGCAAAGACAACUGAGCCUUGCAUGAUUGGAAUAGUACUCCAGUAAAAUAAGACGUAGUUACAGUUUAAGCACAUGGAAAUCCUAGAGGCUCUUUUUGUUUAGUUAAGUGACAUUUUAAUUAUGCAGAAGAUGUUAAAGGCAGCAUAGGCCUCACUGUGAAUUAGGUCUUUUCUUCUUUUGACAAUGAUGACAUUUUAUUUCCCACAGAUGUAAUACAUACUCCUUGCAGACAUGAAAUGGUUUAUAAACAGUUAACAAAGUCAAAACUAAAAAUGCAUCAGGAUAUAGUUAAACAACAAUAAAAAAAACACCACCACCACACACCUUUAAGCAUGCACUGUCAAAAUGGAAGAAAAGCACCAAGAAACCUUAGCUUGAGAGACUAUUCCUUUCAGGCCUAUCAGUGUAAAGACUGGAGCUCAAGACACGCAACUACUACAAUUUCAGUCCUUAAGGACCCAAAAAAACACUUCUUGAAAUGUAAGAUGAUGACUAAUAGCUAUCAGACAGCUACCACUAAUUAUUUAAAUCAUGUACUGAAAGCUGCAUGGAGACAACUGAAAAAUGCCUGCAAUGCAAACAUUUCAGCAUUGAUAUAAAAAACAGUAAGUAGUAAAUAAAAGACACCCCUUCAAAACCUGAAAACCCUUGAAAAACCACCCACAUGUAUAUGUAUUUCUUCUUAUGCAUCUAUCUAUCUGCAGAUGCUUCAAAGUUCUCAAAGUCUACAAGAAUCUUUUGCAAUCAACUGCAAUAUCACUUGUUGGCCACUAUGAAUAGCUGUAAUGAAUCUCAGACAAGCAAAUUUCAUUAACUUUAGGGUACUGUUACAAGGUGUAUAUAUAUUGGCACGUAAUGUCCAUGUCAUCUUCAAAAU